rnacentral:rRNA from 1 species
UGCCUAGGAAUCUGCCUGGUAGUGGGGGACAACGUUUCGAAAGGAACGCUAAUACCGCAUACGUCCUACGGGAGAAAGCAGGGACCUUCGGGCCUUGCGCUAUCAGAUGAGCCUAGGUCGGAUUAGCUAGUUGGUGAGGUAAUGGCUCACCAAGGCGACGAUCCGUAACUGGUCUGAGAGGAUGAUCAGUCACACUGGAACUGAGACACGGUCCAGACUCCUACGGGAGGCAGCAGUA